AGCUCUCAAGCGAUAAUAACUUUAUUGUUAUUAUUUAGCUUGGAUUUGGGAUCCUGCUGUGUUACAACGGCUGUCCCUAAAUGCAUUAGCCGGCUCUAAUGAAAGACUUGGUUCUUACUCGGUGUGAUAAUUAUCUUACGCUGAGGACAUUUCCUGUAAAAGGGAGAUGGCCAGGACUAUUAUUAGGCUGCUUCUAAUCGUCUCUUCUGACAAACUUUAUUCAAAU
rnacentral:misc_RNA from 1 species